rnacentral:rRNA from 1 species
AAUUUAUAAGAAUGGUGGAACAUGUGGUUUAAUUCGACAAUCCACGAAAAACCUUACCAAUAUAAAUGUAUAUUUUUUUAUUUAAAAAAAUAAAAAUAAAAAAAAAAUAUAACGGAAUUGCAUGGCUGUCGUCAGUUCGUGUUGUGAAAUGUAGAGUUAAUUCUUUUUUUAGUACGAACGCAAGCUAACUAAAUAAACAUACUAAAACUUUUUUUAUAUGUUUUUUAGAUUAGUUGAAGUCAAGUCAACAUGGUCUAAAUAUAUUGGGCUACACACGUGUUACAAAGAUAAAUACAAAAAGUUACAAUAAUGUAAAUUGGAGUAAAUCUUUAAAAAUUAUCUUAGUACAGAUUAUUUUUUGAAACUCAAAAAUAUGAAGACGGAAUCAUUAGUAAUUAUAUUUAAUUAUAGUAUAGUGAAUGUACUUAAAUUUUGCACACACUGCCCAUCACGCUUGGAAAAUAUUUUGGUAUAUAGAUUUAUAUAUUUUAGAUCUACAAAAAAUAAGUUUAUUCUAAAAUUUUUAUAUUGAUUAAGAAUACUAUUAUGUAAUUU